AAGUUGUUGGCAGUGCCAGCUCCUUCUGAAGCCUCUAGGCAUGUUUAUAAACCUGUGGCCUCCUUGAGGGCAGAAGCUGUGUCCUAUUCAUCUCUGUCUCCAGCAUUGCCUAUCAGAGGGUCUGGUGCAUAACAAGUGCUCAGUGAACACUGGCUGAACUAAACUCAGGCUUCUCUGAAAGAGGUCAAGAAAGCCCCUGCCUCUCGCCUCUGCAGAUAGCCAUCCAGUCCCAGAGGAAGCGGCUAUUUAUGCAGCAAUUAUCAUUCAAGCAAAGCCAUCUUUAUUGCAAAGAAUGGAGACCUCUGUAAUAUAGCACAGGAAUAAUGAAUGCAUCUGGUCUGUGUGGCAGAGGGGCUGUGACUGAAAGCACACCAUCAGGCAAUGCUGUAGAAGCGGGAAUCUGAUACAACCUGGUUUAAUGAGAACUGGAGAUCAUGAUCUCCUGGACAGCCAGAACUAUGUUUUAUUUAUCUGUUUGUGGCCAGUUUCCAGCCCUGGGCCUGGCCUUGAGCAAGCCCUUGAGUUGAAAUGAUUUAAAUCAGAGAUGGCACAGAUAAUAAAAACAGGAAUGGAUAUGGAGAUAGAGGAUGAGAAUUUGGGUAUUAACUUGGUUAUUUACUAAUUGGAGGGAUUGAGCAAGACCAACUCCACCUCUUCCUCCUCUGUAGCUUACUUA
rnacentral:lncRNA from 10 species